rnacentral:pre_miRNA from 1 species
AUUCUACUCCCUCCGUUCGGAAUUACAUGUCGUAGAAAUGGAUGUAUUUAGAUGUAUUUUAAUUCUAGAUAUAUCCAUUUCCGAGACAAGUAAUUCGGAACGUAGGGAGUAUGUC